rnacentral:rRNA from 1 species
CGGACGGGUGAGUAAUGUGUAGAGAAUCUGCCCUAGAGUGGGGGAGUAGCAGUUGGAAACGACUAUUAAUACCCCAUAUGCGCGUAGCUGAGAUGCUAUUCGUGAAAACUCCGGUGCUCUGGGAUGAGUCUGCAUCUGAUUAGCUAGUAGGCGGUGUAAUGGACCACCUAGGCUACGAUCAGUAGCUGGUUUGAGAGGAUGAUCAGCCACAAUGGGACUGAGACACGGCCCAUACUCCUACGGGAGGCAGCAGUAGGGAAUUUUUGCGCAAUGGGGGAAACCCUGAACCGCAGCAACGCCGCGUGAAUGAAGAAGCCCUUCGGGGUGUAAAGUUCUGUCAGUGGGGACGAAACUUGACGGUACCCACAGAGGAAGCAUCGGCUAACUCCGUGCCAGCCGCAGC